UACGUAGGGGGCAAGCGUUGUCCGGAAUCAUUGGGCGUAAAGCGCGCGUAGGCGGCCCGGUAAGUCCGCUGUAAAAGUCCAGGGCUCAACCCUUGAAUGCCGGUUGAUACUGUCGGGCUAGAGUCCGGAAGAGGCGAGUGGAAUUCCCGGUGUAGCGGUGAAAUGCGUAGAUAUCCGGAGGAACACCAGUGGCGAAGGCGACUUUCUGGCCUGUUCUUGACGCUGAGGCGCGAAAGCUAGGGGAGCAACGGGG
rnacentral:rRNA from 1 species